UCCAAUCCCCAAUUCCUUCUCCUGCUCGUCUCCCAACCAACGGAGCCCAACUCCGGCGCCGAUCUCCUCUGCCCCAGCCACUCGGCCUCGCCGGCGCGGUGGCCUCCUCUCCCCCAUCCAUGCCGCCAACCUCCCUCUCCUUCUCUCCCAUGGCGCCGAAACCCUAGCCACGGCGACCUAGCAACAGCAGGCAGGACGAGCCCGGCCAUGGCCAUGGCCUCCUCUUCCUCUCUGCCCUGCCACGGCCGCCGCUCCAGCCCCACCUCUCCUCUCCUCUUCACUUCUCUCCCAAGGGAGGGGAGGGGAGGGGAGGGGAGGGGAGGGAAGGGAAGCCAAGGGCCCAGAUCAAGCGGAGCGGCGCCCAGAUCCGCCCGCAGCGGCACCGGCGAUCGGAUCCGCGACCCUCCUCGAGGUCGGCCAUGGAGCGCGGCAGCAGCCAUGGACGGCAACGCCCGAAACCCUAGCUAGCCCUCAACCUCCAAGGACGCGCGCCGGCUGCUCUCAGCGGGGAGCACCUCGACGCCGGCCAAAGGCCAUCACCAUCCCCAUCACCAGCAUCCCGCGUGCGUGAGUCAAGGAGGAAAGAGGAGGAGGCCAUCGCCAUGCUCAGAUCCAUAGCUCCUCUUUUCUCUUCAAUUUUGUCAAACUUGAAUGUGAUGAAUAGGGUCAUGAUACUAGUGCUUGAGUCAUGAUACGCACACCCCAAACCUCAUCAUCUUCAUGCUUGCAACUUGUAGGUAAAAACACAUUUUAUUCAAACUAAUUCAGAAUGGUCGUCGGGGGAGAUCCACGGUUGAUCAAUCACAUGGAAUGGAACUAGUACACACUGGAGAGAAUAUAUACGUCAUCUCCCUGUACAAAUUACUCGAAUAGUAAAAAUUGAACUACAGAAUAUAUAUGAACUGAAAUCAACACUUGUUGAGAUAAUUCACAACAGUACAAAUCAAUCCAUGUUAUACCGCUCAUGCUAGCUUAGCUUAGCUUAGCUUAGCUGCUCUCCCAAUAUAUAUUCUGGAUAUGUUAUCUAAUUCGCGCUGUUUUUUUUUUGUUUGUGCAGGCAAUGAAAGCUGCUCCUUCCCCGCCAUGACCACCCUCUCCCUCUCAUGGAAGGUUUUUUGAUUUGAUCUCAAAUUGGCCAUUCUUAUGUGUUAGAGCAGCAGUAGCAGCAGCAGGGUUCCUUGGUGGAUACAGCAGCAGCAGCAGAAAGAGGACACCAUGGUGGGUACAGCAGCAGCA